rnacentral:lncRNA from 1 species
CUGCUCUGCCUCAGUGCCAAAGGAUGGAGGAGUCCAGUCAUAAACUCUGAGGACAGCCCAGCUGGAAUUCUGUGAGAAUAGAUUUUAAGCUGACCAUCACAAAGCCAUUCUGACCUGUACCACAAGUGGGAGCAAGGUUUUUUGUUUUCAUUGAUGGUAAGAUCAAGACCUAGAAGAGGGCUGGUUUGUUUAAUUUAGUACCAAUGGGGAUAACUUCUUUCCACUUCUUGUUGCCAAAAUUUACAGAGUCAUACUGGGUUUCCAUAUGUCUUCCUAGAGAUCACUGAUUGUUAAGAGUUGAAGAAAACUUGGAGGUAAAGUUUUCAGCUUCUGACAACCAAUUUGUACAUAAAGUAGUGUGCAUUAUGUUUGUACAUUCAAAAUCCUGCCUGAUGGCUUAGUAAUUGCAUUUUAGUACAAAGAAGGCCCUGUUCAUAAGCAUGGUUCACAAUUCUACUUGUGCAGAUAUGAAUGUGCAGGCUGUUACCUGCAGACGUCACGCUGGUCCUCAGAUUCUGGACACAUACUUGAGAAAUGAGUACACUUUCCCAGACAAAACUCUCUUUUCAUAGGAUGUAAUAUUGUCUUAUUUCUUGCUCUCACCUUGGGGACACUGCAUUGUUAAAACCAGGCCAGUUCAAGAAAUUCUGCACUGCAACUUUAUCUAUACUUCAGGAAAAAGAUAAUAUAACACUUGUAUGAUAUCUCAAGGUUCUACUGUGAUGAUCCUGAUAGACACCUGUACCACGUGAGGGAUAUAAGUAGUUUGCAUUCAUCCAAGAGUGGAGCACAUCCAAAAACUUACAAGAAAUGGAAAAGAAAAAAAGAAAAAGCCUUCCAAACAAAAGCUAACAGUAUGUUUGAAAUCAGAUGUGAAUCAUUUUUAAAGGUGCGCUAACUUCCACUUCUCCAAGACCAUUUGUUCUGUAUUAUUUUACAUCAUGAUCGUUGGGAUGGAAUGGCAAUUGUGAAUGCAGUAGCUGCAGCUAGGAGGAUCUCAAGACGUGAACUUCAGGCUCUUACAUUGAUAAGUGAAGGGUGAAAAACAGAUAAAUGGAGCAAAGAAACAGUCACUACAGAGAAACAAUCUCUGCAGGUACGAUGAACGUAACUGUGAUAAGAUGCUGAACAAGUGGUGAAUCUCAGAUUAUUUAAAUUCCAGACAGGGUUCCAAAGACUCAGCUUUCCCUGAAUUUUUUGUGCAAUGCUCCAUGGAGAGAUGCACUCACUGAAGAUGACCAGGAGUCUACAUUUGUGCUUCAACUUCAUUACAAUAAUAUCCAAACCAUAAAAUGGUUUUACAAUUUUGUUACGUUGUGGGUUUAUAAAGGUGAACUAGCUUUCAUACCUUCUAUACCUACUCACAUGUAAAGCAAUUAACAGCAAGUCUGUUUUCAUCCAUGGUAUCCUACCAAGAACCAUUUUAAGAAACACUUUUUGAAAUUUCAUAUUCUCAGUCUCCUGAGAGACCAC